GCGCCAAUGGUUUAGUGGUAAAAUCCAAGCUUCCCACGUCAAGAUAUACAUCUUCACGAGUUUGCUUGGGCCCGGGGUUCGAUUCCCCGUUGGCGCA
rfam:Botryotinia fuckeliana T4 unplaced genomic scaffold BcT4_SuperContig_O_V3__V4, whole genome shotgun sequence.